GGAACUGAAACAUCUAAGUACCUGAAGGAAGAGAAAGAAAUUCGAUUCCGUAAGUAGCGGCGAGCGAACGCGGAUUAGCCCAAACCAAUAAAGUUUUCUUUAUUGGGGUUGCGGACAUAUCAUAACGAAGAGGUAUCGUAAUUGAAGAGGUUUGGAAAGACCCACCACAGAAGGUAAUAGUCCUGUAUGUUAAACGAGAAGACUUUAGAUAUGAUCCA
rnacentral:rRNA from 1 species